rnacentral:rRNA from 1 species
AGUGAACGCUGGCGGUAGGCCUAACACAUGCAAGUCGAACGGCAGCACAGUAAGAGCUCGCUCUUACGGGUGGCGAGUGGCGGAUGGGUGAGGAAUACAUCGGAAUCUAAUUUUUCGUGGGGGAUAACGUAGGGAAACUUACGCUAAUACCGCAUACGAUCUACGGGUGAAAGCAGGGGAUCUUCGGACCUUGCGCGAUUCAAUGAGCCGAUGUCGGAUUAGCUAGUUGGCGGGGUAAAGGCCCACCAAGGCGACGAUCCGUAGCUGGUCUGAGAGGAUGAUCAGCCACACUGGAACUGAGACACGGUCCAGACUCCUACGGGAGGCAGCAGUGGGGAAUAUUGGACAAUGGGCGCAAGCCUGAUGCAGCAAUGCCGCGUGGGUGAAGAAGGCCUUCGGGUUGUAAAGCCCUUUUGUUGGGAAAGAAAAGCAGCAGGUUAAUACCCCGCUGUUCUGACGGUACCCAAAGAAUAAGCACCGGCUAACUUCGUG